AUUUCAAAUAGCGGAGGAAAAGAAACCAACAGGGAUUACCUCAGUAACGGCGAGUGAAGCGGUAACAGCUCAAAUUUGAAAUCUGGCUCUUUCAGGGUCCGAGUUGUAAUUUGUAGAAGAUGCUUCAGGUGUGGCUCCGGUCUAAGUUCCUUGGAACAGGACGUCAUAGAGGGUGAGAAUCCCGUAUGUGACUGGUUGCCUUCGCCUAUGUGAAGCUCUUUCGACGAGUCGAGUUGUUUGGGAAUGCAGCUCUAAAUGGGAGGUAAAUUUCUUCUAAAGCUAAAUAUUGGCCAGAGACCGAUAGCGCACAAGUAGAGUGAUCGAAAGAUGAAAAGCACUUUGGAAAGAGAGUUAAACAGUACGUGAAAUUGUUGAAAGGGAAGCGCUUGCAACCAGACUUGCCUGCCGUCGAUCAUCCUCCGUUCUCGGGGGUGCACUCGGCGGUGGUCAGGCCAGCAUCGGUUUCGGUGGUGGGAUAAAGACCUUGGGAAUGUAGCUCCUCUCGGGGAGUGUUAUAGCCCUCGGUGCAAUGCCGCCUACCGGGACCGAGGACCGCGCUCGGCUAGGAGCAGUCUAAAGCCAGGAGCCGG
rnacentral:rRNA from 1 species